rnacentral:sRNA from 1 species
ACGACGGAGGUACGGAUCUGGGCAAUUUGUAGCUCCAGUAUCCCAAAUGCUAAUUUAAAAAAAGGGAUGUGGUGCUACGAAUCAAUGGGCCGCUGCAUUUGUCUAUCGUGGUCGGUAUCACGCCAUUCAUUUUCUCCCAGCCUCGUUUAGCGACUCUACACAAAGAAAGGGGCUGCUGUCAGAGAAAGUCCCCAAUGAAACAUACAUUAGACGAUGUGGGAAUUGUGGUCCGGAUAAAGAAGAAAACAGAGUGAAUACUGAAAGAAAACAAAAAGGAAAGGAUAAUAACAAAAAAAGAAAAAAAGAAAAAAAGGAAGUGUAGUUUGUUAGCCUAUAUAUAUUCUAUCUCACAAGAUAUGAACAGAGUGAGGGUAUGUAUUAAACCAUGCAAUGAUGAAAUUGCAACACUCAAGCAGCUCAAACAUAGAAGGCCAAUGAAUCUAAGAAUGAAAAGAAAGGAAAAGAAGGCUGGGAUGGCAGGUAGAGGCAAGAUCCAAAAAGAAAAU